GAUGAACGCUGGCGGCGUGCCUAAUACAUGCAAGUCGAGCGAACAGAUGAGGAGCUUGCUCCUCUGACGUUAGCGGCGGACGGGUGAGUAACACGUGGAUAACCUACCUAUAAGACUGGGAUAACUUCGGGAAACCGGAGCUAAUACCGGAUAAUAUAUUGAACCGCAUGGUUCAAUAGUGAAUGAGGUUUUGCCUGUAUUUAUUAGCUGAUUCCGGGCUGCAUUAGUUAGUUGGUAAGGUAACGCCUUCCCAAGGAACCGAUGCGUAGCCGACCUGAGGGGGUGAUCGGCAACACUGGAACGGAGACACGUUCCAGACUCCUACGGGAGGCAGCAGUAGGGAAUCUUCCGCAAUGGGCGAAAGCCUGACGGAGCAACGCCGCGUGAGUGAUGAAGGUCUUCGGAUCGUAAAACUCUGUUAUGAGGGAAGAACAAAUGUGUAAGUAACUAUGCACGUCUGAACGGAACCAAAGCAGAAGGCCACGGCAAACUACGU
rnacentral:rRNA from 1 species